rnacentral:rRNA from 1 species
GCAAGUCGAGCGCACCCCUUCGGGGGCGCGCGGGGGACGGGUUAGUAACGCUUGGGAAUAUACCCAGAUCUAAGGAAUAGCCUCGGGAAACUGAGAGUAAUACCUUAUACGCCCUUCGGGGGAAAGAUUUAUCGGAUUUGGAUUAGCCCGCGUUAGAUUAGAUAGUUGGUGGGGUAAUGGCCUACCAAGUCUACGAUCUAUAGCUGGUUUGAGAGGAUGAUC